rnacentral:lncRNA from 1 species
UUGUCGUGGAAUUGCCGUCUCUAACUGCUGUCACUACUCUUUGUCGUUCAACCGUCUUCAACUGAACUCCUUCAAUCGUAGAACGUGAUAAGGUUACUUAAUAACUGCACUUCCGGAUAACCAUAACAUCUUAUGUUUGCUAAGAUCCUGGGCGAUUCAAAGGUUUGGGCGAGAACAGGGUCAUAGCUCUGGGCGACUGUAAGGCACUUCAUUCGCUCAGAUCUUGGGCGUCUUGCAGGCUUGGGCGAUGAUGUUACCGUGUUUGUGGACUUCCACUGCAUUCAUUAAUAACCCUAUCUGGGCCUUUAUCCUGAAUUGUCUAGUUGGGCUUCAUUCCUUGGGUUAUUCGAUUUGGGUUGCACUUUUAGUGUGUCAACAAUUAUCUCCCAAUAUGACAGAAUUAAUACCAAUUAUUAAUCUUUGCCAUAUUUACUUUGUGUUUCCCAGCAACAUUUGAAAUUCCCAAGAAUUUCAAUCAUUAUUUCCUUCCAUAGCUUGAAAAAGUGCGACGUUACAAACCCUUAUAAACCCCAAAGAUACGCCAUUUCGUUGUACCACUAAAUCACGCCUCAUUAUUUUGCGCUUCUUUCUCGCCAUACCACUGUUCAUCUUCUUACUUCUCUGCUACGUUUCUCAAACAAACUUUAACAAAACUGUAUUUUGUCCUCAAUGGCUGCUCCACAAACCCAAUCUGAUGACUCUUUUAGCUUUGAAGAUUUUCAGAAAAUCCUCACUCGGUCAUAUGUAAACCCGAACUUUCUUGCACCAGCCAAUGCCAAACUUAAUGAGUUCUAUCUAGGUCCUUCAUUUAACAACCCCGAAACCGUCGAACAAGUGGCAGUGGGCCAGCUGUUCCCUUGUACUCAAGGCCCUCCAUUCCUGAACUCUUUGCCGCUGAGGCCGAUUUGCGAAAAUGGUAUUCGCACUUGACCUAAAUCUGAUGUUGUUUAACGUAGAUGACAUGCUUGCGUUGUGGGCCAUUGUCCUACCAAGACACUUUUUGAUCGUGCUAAAAUUUCUGAUUUAUUAGAAAUCUCUCUUCAACCCCCAAUUUUUGACCCAGCAUUUUUUUCUAUUGCUUUAAGUUUUUGGUCUUCUGAAUAUAAUACUUUGUUUUCCCUCUUGGUCCUAUAUCCAUUACUUUAAGGGAUGUUGGGGCCCUAAUAAAUCUUCCACCUUUGGACGACACCAUUUUCCCUGGUAUUUUAAUUUUCGGUGUUGCCCAAAAAUUUGACAAACAACUCACCGAGUCCUAUUCAAGCCUGCAAGGCUGUUAUAAUCACUCAAAUGCUGAGCUUUCCCACACUGAGCGUGUGGUCUUUAUUCAGAUUCGAUUUUGUAAAUAUAUUCUAUGUGUGCCCAGUAUAAAGCCUUCUAUGAGCUAUUUACCCAUAGCGCACGAAUUGGCGCGUGGUAGGCCUUUGAAUUUGUGUUCUUUCUUCUUCGCUGCCCUCUAUAGAGGCAUGACUUCUCUUCAAUUUCAAUUGAAAAAUGGUGCAUCUCCCACUGGCAGUGGGCCUCUUUGGUUCACUCAACUAUGGUUGAGAGCCUAUUUUCCAUCACUUGGUGCUCUAUCCAUGUCCCUUCGUUCUGCCAGUUGCUAUGGGCUAGCCAUUGACCCAUUGAGUCAUGUAAAUAUGUCUAGAAGGGACAUUUUUUCAUUCUUUUAUACUUUAAAUUCAAUUCCUUCAUUCUUUCCCUUUCCUGCUCAUUUAACUCCAGAUUAUGUGCAACCUCCAUCUACCUUGGAAAGUGCGAGCGCCUCUUUGCUCGUUUGGGUUCAGUUUUUGACUGGGAGGGAGUUGUUCCAUGAUAUUUUAAUUGGAACAAAUGACAAAGCUGGGGUUGAAAUAUAUGCUCCCCAAUUUUUUACUCGCCAAUUUGGUUUUGGCCAAACUUGGCCUGUUCCCCGUUGUUAUUCAAAAAAUUUGAUAGACCACUUUCACACCAUUAAUCAGGCAGAGGCACAAGCUAUAGAUGCUCGCAAUAUUCUUUUGACGAGUAACUUUUCAUUAGCCCCCUUCAAUCCUAGCCGUGCCGUUUACCCCCUUUUUGAACAACUCUGGCCAUCAGUGAAGCGCAGAUUGUUUGCCACUAAUGCCAAUCGUUCUUUUCAUUCACUGGAUCAACCAAACAUUUUUUUUCACUUCUCCUAUUUUGGUCACCUCUAGGGCCAUUAGGAAUCUUUCCUCCCUUGCUCGUGCUAAACAAUCUAUUCGUCCCUCUACUUCUCUACCUGCCAAACCUACUGCAGCUAAGAGUGCCCCAAGCUGCAAAUUGCCAGUUUUAGCAUCUCCCAUUUUGGAGGAUGAUGAUGAUGAUGAUGACACUCCUCUCAUCGUCAGGAGAAAGGUAAUCGAAUUCUAUUUACUCACAAG